UACGAAGGGGGCUAGCGUUGCUCGGAAUCACUGGGCGUAAAGCGCACGUAGGCGGUUUGUCGCGUCGGGAGUGAAAUCCACUGGCUUAACUGGUGGCUUGCUUUCGAUACGGGCAGACUGGAGGUAUGCAGGGGGAGAACGGAAUUCCUGGUGUAGCGGUGAAAUGCGCAGAUAUCAGGAGGAACACCGGUGGCGAAGGCGGUUCUCUGGGCAUGUCCUGACGCUGAGGAGCGAAAGUGUGGGGAGCGAACAGG
rnacentral:rRNA from 1 species